GUGCCAGCAGCCGCGGUAAUACGGAGGGAGCAAGCGUUAUCCGGAUUUAUUGGGUUUAAAGGGUCCGAGGCGGGCCCGUAAGUCAGUGGUGAAAGCCUGCAGCUUAACUGUAGAACUGCCGUUGAUACUGCGAGUCUUUUGUAAAUUUGAAGUGGCUGGAAUAAGUAGUGUAGCGGUGAAAUGCAUAGAUAUUACUUAGAACACCAAUUGCGAAGGCAGGUCACUAAGAUUUAACUGACGCUGAUGGACGAAAGCGUGGGGAGCGAACAGGAUUAGAUACCCUGGUAGUCCACGCCGUAAACGAUGCUAACUCGUUUUUGGAUUUUCGGAUUCAGAGACCAAGCGAAAGUGAUAAGUUAGCCACCUGGGGAGUACGUUCGCAAGAAUGAAACUCAAAGGAAUUGACGGGGGCCCGCACAAGCGGUGGAUUAUGUGGUUUAAUUCGAUGAUACGCGAGGAACCUUUACCAAGACUUAAAUGGGAAUUGACAGAUUUAGAAAUAGAUCCUCCUUUAGGGCAAUUUUCAAGGGUGCUGCAUGGUUGUCGUCAGCUCGUGCCGUGGAGGUGUUUAGGUUAAGUCCUGCAAACGAGCGCAACCCCUGUCACUAGUUGCUAACAUUUCAGUUGAGGACUCUAAGUGGAGACUGCCUACGCAAGGUAGAGAGGAAAGGGUGGGGAUGACGUCCAAUCAUUCACGGGCCCUUAACGUCUUGGGGCCCACACACGUAAAUAACAAUGGCCGGGUACAGGAGGGCAGGUUACAACAGCCGAUGGUGAUGCAAAAUCUCGGAAAGCCC
rnacentral:rRNA from 1 species